rnacentral:rRNA from 1 species
CUCUUACCCAUGUCUUUUGAGUACCUUACGUUUCCUCGGCGGGUCCGCCCGCCGAUUGGACAAUUUAAACCAUUUGCAGUUGCAAUCAGCGUCUGAAAAAACUUAAUAGUUACAACUUUCAACAACGGAUCUCUUGGUUCUGGCAUCGAUGAAGAACGCAGCGAAAUGCGAUAAGUAGUGUGAAUUGCAGAAUUCAGUGAAUCAUCGAAUCUUUGAACGCACAUUGCGCCCCUUGGUAUUCCAUGGGGCAUGCCUGUUCGAGCGUCAUUUGUACCUUCAAGCUCUGCUUGGUGUUGGGUGUUUGUCUCGCCUCUGCGUGUAGACUCGCCUCAAAACAAUUGGCAGCCGGCGUAUUGAUUUCGGAGCGCAGUACAUCUCGCGCUUUGCACUCAUAACGACGACGUCCAAAAGUACAUUUUUACACUCUUGACCUCGGAUCAGGUAGGGAUACCCGCUGAACUUAAGCAUAUCAAUAAGCGGAGGAAAAGAAACCAACAGGGAUUGCCCUAGUAACGGCGAGUGAAGCGGCAACAGCUCAAAUUUGAAAUCUGGCGUCUUUGGCGUCCGAGUUGUAAUUUGCAGAGGGCGCUUUGGCAUUGGCAGCGGUCCAAGUUCCUUGGAACAGGACGUCACAGAGGGUGAGAAUCCCGUACGUGGUCGCUAGCCUUUACCGUGUAAAGCCCCUUCGACGAGUCGAGUUGUUUGGGAAUGCAGCUCUAAAUGGGAGGUAAAUUUCUUCUAAAGCUAAAUACUGGCCAGAGACCGAUAGCGCACAAGUAGAGUGAUCGAAAGAUGAAAAGCACUUUGGAAAGAGAGUUAAAAAGCACGUGAAAUUGUUGAAAGGGAAGCGCUUGCAGCCAGACUUGCCUGUAGUUGCUCAUCCGGGGUUUCUACCCGGUGCACUCUUCUAUAGGCAGGCCAGCAUCAGUUUGGGCGGUUGGAUAAAGGUCUCUGUCAUGUACCUCCUUUCGGGGAGAACUUAUAGGGGAGACGACAUGCAACCAGCCUGGACUGAGGUCCGCGCAUCUGCUAGGAUGCUGGCGUAAUGGCUGUAAGCGGCCCGUCUUGAAACACGGACCAAGGAGUCUAACAUCUAUGCGAGUGUUUGGGUGUCAAGCCCGAGCGCGUAAUGAAAGUGAACGGAGGUGGGAACCUUUCGGGGUGCACCAUCGACCGAUCCUGAUGUCUUCGGAUGGAUUUGAGUAAGAGCAUAGCUGUUGGGACCCGAAAGAUGGUGAACUAUGCUUGAAUAGGGUGAAGCCAGAGGAAACUCUGGUGGAGGCUCGCAGCGGUUCUGACGUGCAAAUCGAUCGUCAAAUUUGGGCAUAGGGGCG